rnacentral:tRNA from 1 species
CGAGGUCUCUGGUUCAAGUCCAGGAUAGCCCA